rnacentral:rRNA from 1 species
GACGAACGCUGGCGGCGUGCUUAACACAUGCAAGUCGAACGGUAAGGCCCUUCGGGGUACACGAGUGGCGAACGGGUGAGUAACACGUGGGUGAUCUGCCCUGCACUUCGGGAUAAGCCUGGGAAACUGGGUCUAAUACCGGAUAGGACCACUGCCUGCAUGGGUGGUGGUGGAAAGCUUUUGCGGUGUGGGAUGGGCCCGCGGCCUAUCAGCUUGUUGGUGGGGUGAUGGCCUACCAAGGCGACGACGGGUAGCCGGCCUGAGAGGGUGACCGGCCACCCGGGGACUGAGAGACGGCCCAGACUCCUACGGGAGGCAGCAGUGGGGAAUAUUGCACAAUGGGCGCAAGCCUGAUGCAGCGACGCCGCGUGAGGGAUGACGGCCUUCGGGUUGUAAACCUCUUUCAGCACCGACGAAGCGCAAGUGACGGUAGGUGCAGAAGAAGGACCGGCCAACUACGUGCCAGCCGCCGCCGUAA